rnacentral:rRNA from 1 species
AUAAUCCUGUAGUCGAAAAUGUUGUCUCUCUUGAGUGGAUCCUGAGUACGACGGAGCACGUGAAAUUCCGUCGGAAUCUGGGAGGACCAUCUCCUAAGGCUAAAUACUCUCUAGUGACCGAUAGUGAACCAGUACCGUGAGGGAAAGGUGAAAAGCACCCCGGAAGGGGAGUGAAAUAGAACCUGAAACCGUGUGCUUACAAGUAGUCAGAGCCCGUUAAUGGGUGAUGGCGUGCCUUUUGUAGAAUGAACCGGCGAGUUACGAUUUGAUGCAAGGUUAAGCAGUAAAUGUGGAGCCGUAGCGAAAGCGAGUCUGAAUAGGGCGUUUAGUAUUUGGUCGUAGACCCGAAACCAGGUGAUCUACCCUUGGUCAGGUUGAAGUUCAGGUAACACUGAAUGGAGGACCGAACCGACUUACGUUGAAAAGUGAGCGGAUGAACUGAGGGUAGCGGAGAAAUUCCAAUCGAACCUGGAGAUAGCUGGUUCUCUCCGAAAUAGCUUUAGGGCUAGCCUCAAGUGAUGAUUAUUGGAGGUAGAGCACUGUUUGGACGAGGGGCCCCUCUCGGGUUACCGAAUUCAGACAAACUCCGAAUGCCAAUUAAUUUAACUUGGGAGUCAGAACAUGGGUGAUAAGGUCCGUGUUCGAAAGGGAAACAGCCCAGACCACCAGCUAAGGUCCCAAAAUAUAUGUUAAGUGGAAAAGGAUGUGGCGUUGCCCAGACAACUAGGAUGUUGGCUUAGAAGCAGCCAUCAUUUAAAGAGUGCGUAAUAGCUCACUAGUCGAGUGACACUGCGCCGAAAAUGUACCGGGGCUAAACAUAUUACCGAAGCUGUGGAUUGUCCUUUGGACAAUGGUAGGAGAGCGUUCUAAGGGCGUUGAAGCAUGAUCGUAAGGACAUGUGGAGCGCUUAGAAGUGAGAAUGCCGGUGUGAGUAGCGAAAGACGGGUGAGAAUCCCGUCCACCGAUUGACUAAGGUUUCCAGAGGAAGGCUCGUCCGCUCUGGGUUAGUCGGGUCCUAAGCUGAGGCCGACAGGCGUAGGCGAUGGAUAACAGGUUGAUAUUCCUGU